rnacentral:rRNA from 1 species
AUUGAACGCUGGCGGCAGGCCUAACACAUGCAAGUCGAGCGAGCGGCGGACGGGUGUGUAAUGUCUGGGAAACUGCCUGAUGGAGGGGGAUAACUCCUGGAAACGGUAGCUAAUACCGCAUACCAUCAGAUGUGCCCAGAUGGUAUUUGACCGUAGGUGGGGUAACGGCGCACCUAGGCGACUAUCCCUCGCUGGUCUGAGAGGAUGACCAGCCACACGGGAGCUGAGACACGGUCCAGACUCCUACGGGAGGCAGCGGUGGAGAAUAUUGCACAGUGGGCGCAAGCCUAAAGCAGCCAUGCGGCGUAUGUGAGUAAGGCCUUCGGGUUGUAAAGCACGUUCAGCGGGGAGGCGGUACCCGCAGAAGAAGCACCGGCUAACUCCGUGCCAGCAGCCGCGGUAAUUC